AAGAUUUUCAAGAAGAAAAAUUUGAUACGUAUCGGUAUGGAAUAGUACGUAUCGGUAUGGAAUAGUUACGUACCGGCUCGUAUCGAAGUCUGAGUCCGAUACGGGUCCGAUACGUAUCGCUUGUACAUUGCACAUGUAACUUCUUGAACGCUCUUGAACUAAAAUUUCUUCCUUGAAAAUCUUGAUUGUUAUAAUAUACAAAAUGGAUCGUUUUGAAAAUUUUCCGUCCUCAGAUUUCCAGUAUGAUGUUGAAAGAUGUGGCUAUGUAAAUGAAGAAUGUAUUAUGGUGGAUAUGGGGGACGAGCCAUCGGUGAAAUUUUUUAUAGACUACAACAGCAAUCCUUGCACGGAGUAUUCGUUUGUGGAACAAAUAGUAAUUGCGGCCAUAGUUAAGCAUUAACUGAAAUCGGUAAUUGUCUGUAAAAAUAAAAACCUAGUUCGUGAUGACUAUAACUAAAUUAUAUUUUUUAAUAUAUACAUCACAGAGCAAACGGUUAUUUCAAAAAUUCAUAGCAAUAGGACAUUAUUUGUGUUUGCCAUUCAACUCCCCAAACAAUUAUCGUUAUUUUAAACAUACCUUAAAUUUAUUAACACAAAAAAGAAUAAUAACAAUAGUACUAGAAACAGUGAAAACACCAAAAGUAUAUACCAUUAACACAACAAACCCAGAAAUAAUUAAAUUAAAAAUACAUUCCCCCCUAUUCAACAGAAUACUCGACAUGGAUGAAUUUAAAUUAUUAAAAAUCGAACGCAAUGCUAAUGUAAAUACAAAAAUAAACAUUCCUAGAAUGAAAAAUAGAAUGCAGUUCAUUAAGUUCUCAUUUCAAGAAUUAACACUACAACAUUUCAAUAUAAAGCCAUCUCAAUUACAAAGUUUUUUUAACAGUCAACUAUAAGUAUAAGUCACAUUUAAAUAAAUUAAUUUAUUAUAUAAACAAAAAGCCCUCUGCCGAUCCCAUGCAUCAUGCUGCCAACGUUUACACAUGACACACCACUACAAUUGGAAAAAUCAUGCAAUAAGUUCUACAAAAGGUCAUUGCGAGCAGAUGUCAUUGGAAUCCUUGAUGAUAUGUUGUUAUAUUAUGUAUCCAUGAUAUAUUCUAAAUCGAUUGAUACAGUAUUGUUUAUCUAUCUCGAUGCAAAAUGCAAUAAGCCGGUGGUAGUUGUAGACAAAUAUAAAUUAUGGAAAAUCUUUUGAGUAAAUAUUUUAAAAGUUUCCAAGUACAUAAUAUAAUACCAGUGAAGCUAAUAACAGCACAUGAAAGUUUUGGACUGGAUUCAGGUGUUUGUUGUCGCUGUCUUUAUUCGAAUGUGCAACAUACUCAAAAAUUUGAAUUCAGCGUGAGAUCGAUCAGACAACCUAUUUCAAAUUGAAAUCAAUUUUUUUUUUGAGAUUAAGGAGUGAAAUCUAAUGUAUCGAUCUAAUGUACACUUCACACUAAAUAUUAAUAUCUGUUUUUGUAAUAUUAAUGGCUUAGUGUGGCUGUUGCAAAAUUUUUUAUCACUUAAAUAAAAAUUAACAUUAUUGACUAAGUAUCUUUCGCCUUUUGCAAUACAUAACCACUUUAUCAAUUGCAUCAACACAGUUUUAACGUGCACAUAUUUAGGCAAAUCAUUAUAAUACAUUAUAAUAACUCUAUUAGAUAAAACAUUCAAUCACGUAUACGUCCAAAAUAUAUAAUAUAAAAAUAAAUAAAAACGUGUGCAAAAGAUUAAAAUCACGAGCCAAAUUAUAUUAUGCAUUAGUAUAGUACUUAAUAUCUAUAGAUUCUAAAUACGUAAUUGUGUAUAAUAUUGUGUAUAUACUCACAAGUUAAAAACUGAACUUUGGCUUUUAUGCAAAUAUAUAAAAAAAUUAACGAACAAUAAGUUCUGAAGUCAAAGAUCAUAUUAUAAUUUAAAUAUUUUUAUAGUAUAUGUAUACAUAGUACAGUAAUAUAUAUACACAGAAAUAUUGGAUUUGAUUUAACACCAAUAUUGAU
rnacentral:lncRNA from 1 species